rnacentral:misc_RNA from 1 species
CCUAUUUCUCUUUUUCCUAUUUCUCUUUUCACAUCGGAUGAUGCAUUGAUAGCUAAGGUUAAAAGGCUUUGUUUUUCAGUUAUUUGUACUUGAUUUGUGUUGGUAAGGGAAGGAGAUAAAAAAGCUUAAUAUUUUUCCUGAUCAAAUGGGCUCAUUUGGGUUCUUUCUGAUAUGUAUGCUUCAUUCUUUGAUAGCUCUAACCUGUGGAAUUCUGAUGAUGUUUUACACGAAUGAGGCCUCUGUGUUUGGCCAUGGCAUUGAGGUAGCUUC